UGAGGAAUAUUGGUCAAUGGGCGAGAGCCUGAACCAGCCAAGUAGCGUGAAGGAUGACUGCCCUAUGGGUUGUAAACUUCUUUUAUAAAGGAAUAAAGUCGGGUAUGGAUACCCGUUUGCAUGUACUUUAUGAAUAAGGAUCGGCUAACUCCGUGCCAGCAGCCGCGGUAAUACGGAGGAUCCGAGCGUUAUCCGGAUUUAUUGGGUUUAAAGGGAGCGUAGAUGGAUGUUUAAGUCAGUUGUGAAAGUUUGCGGCUCAACCGUAAAAUUGCAGUUGAUACUGGAUAUCUUGAGUGCAGUUGAGGCAGGCGGAAUUCGUGGUGUAGCGGUGAAAUGCUUAGAUAUCACGAAGAACUCCGAUUGCGAAGGCAGCCUGCUAAGCUGCAACUGACAUUGAGGCUCGAAAGUGUGGGUAUCAAACAGGAUUAGAUACCCUGGUAGUCCACACGGUAAACGAUGAAUACUCGCUGUUUGCGAUAUACAGCAAGCGGCCAAGCGAAAGCGUUAAGUAUUCCACCUGGGGAGUACGCCGGCAACGGUGAAACUCAAAGGAAUUGACGGGGGCCCGCACAAGCGGAGGAACAUGUGGUUUAAUUCGAUGAUACGCGAGGAACCUUACCCGGGCUUAAAUUGCAGAUGAAUUACGGUGAAAGCCGUAAGCCGCAAGGCAUCUGUGAAGGUGCUGCAUGGUUGUCGUCAGCUCGUGCCGUGAGGUGUCGGCUUAAGUGCCAUAACGAGCGCAACCCUUGUUGUCAGUUACUAACAGGUUCUGCUGAGGACUCUGACAAGACUGCCAUCGUAAGAUGUGAGGAAGGUGGGGAUGACGUCAAAUCAGCACGGCCCUUACGUCCGGGGCUACACACGUGUUACAAUGGGGGGUACAGAGGGCCGCUAUCACGCGAGUGGAUGCCAAUCCCAAAAACCUCUCUCAGUUCGGACUGGAGUCUGCAACCCGACUCCACGAAGCUGGAUUCGCUAGUAAUCGCGCAUCAGCCACGGCGCGGUGAAUACGUUCCC
rnacentral:rRNA from 1 species